rnacentral:lncRNA from 1 species
AUGGAAGGAUUUGAUAGAUUUGAUCUAGUUUAUGGAAAGAUUUGGUCCAGUGGCAAUUUGGUAAUUUCUGUCAAGUUUGGAGUGUCGUUUUUUUGCGUUUUCGGAGCCUAAUUUCAUUGGAAACAGGUCAACGGUCAAAAGUCACAAGCGCUUUGCUCGUGAACUGCAGUGUUUCUUGGUCAAAUUCUAUCGUUUAGGCCUUUAAAAUUACAUUUUAUUGUUUUCGAGUUAUUUUUUUAAUUUUCCUUACUAGUUUUCCUUUUCCGUUUUGGAUUCCGCUUUUAGGAUUUUGUUAUUUUAACGUUUGUUAUGAUGUGAAGCAGCAGUUUUUAUGAACAACAGACUUUUUCUUAUUUUCCAAAAUUCUCUUAAUUAGAAUUUUGUUGCCUAUUUGCCGGUAUUCGUAGAAUCAACAGGUUGUAGAAGGUUAUCGUUUGGCAAUCGUGCGCGAUUCAACAAUUGAUAAAACUUUUCGUUGUAAUUCCGCUGCGUUUACGUCGUGCAUGCGAUUUUAGCAAGACACGUUCAC